ensembl:lncRNA
CUUGCAGAUUUGCUUGGUUAGCUGAUCAUGCUUUCUUCAGCAGACCUAUCUGCUUAAUGCAACAGCUCAAUAACGCAGCAUUAAUUAUAAUUAGCAAAUUGCUUGUACACCUACAGCUCUAUCAUAUUGUUGCUGUAGCCAGGGUUAGGAAAUUGUCUGAAGAAAAUAAAUUUGAAGCAACUCAAGCACAGGUAAAUAGCCUGUUAUUAUCCAUGAACCAUUGUCAUUAUGGUCAUUUCUGAAAAAUCAUGUGUUUCCCAUGGUUCAUUAAAUCUGUUUUACUGCCUGGAUAAAUGAGCUACUUUGAGGUGUCAGCAACAACCCCAAGCAGGAGGCUUUAUUCUGCUGAGAAAGAUGGCAAUCAGCAGCAAGAAAGGCAAUCCUGAAAACAUCUUAUACAAAAUUCAUGGGUUUAUUAAUUCAUAAUGUUAAAUGGUUUUGGCAGCUAACUAGUCACAGAAUUUCAUCAAAAUGUGCACUUAUAAACAAAGGGAAAGCAAUAGCUUUUCUUCAGCAACUUUGCUCUGAUACUUUUAGUCCUUCAGGUAAAAAAAAAGAAAAAGUAACAGUCUCAAUAUGGAAAUUUUCUAUUUCAGCAAACCAGAUUAUCAGAAAAUACCUUCAAAAUGGCCAGUGUGAGGCUUCCACCAAGAUUUAUCAACAAAUGAGGCAGAAAACACCCACAUUAUGGAACCAGAAAAAGUCUUCAAGAUUUUGCUGGAUUUGCAACGUGGCAAUUAUUCCCAGGGAAAUGUAAGAGAUCUCUCAUGUUCCCCUUGGUGAGAGAUAGUUAAAUAUUUGCUGGGUCACAGGAAGCAAAUGUGUUGCAUUUCUCUUAAAUUAACCCAAGGUGAAGAGAGCCAGAAAAGAAAGAGAAGGUCCCUCAUUUCCAAGGGUGUUUAUCCAAUGUUGGCUUAUUCCAAAGCAGAGAAAACACUGCUUCAGUCCUGGGAGCAGCUCCCACUUUCCUGUCUGUUGGGUGACUGCCCACACAACAAGGCUGCUGUGUGAAAAGGGGGCCCACCUCAUCCUUUGGCCACCUUUUAAAAGAAGACAACCUGUUGCCUCUGUAUACUCUACAUGUCCUCCAAAAACCCACGGAUCAGUCCUCAUUUGGAGGGAGGUUUUGUUUCUAGGCCCCAGCUGUCAUGAGCUUUACUUUGAACCUUUGAGAGAUGCAGCAACUCUUUAUAUACCUACAGAGAUGUGAGAAAGUUGCCAGUGGGGUUUGGGCAGGGCCAGAAUUAGGAUGCUAAUCGGUGGGUUUGCUCCAGGGGAUCAGGAUGUGGGUUUGGAUAAUGUCCCUAAGCUUGCACGCAGGCAGGAGUUGUGUGACAGAGUUCUCAUCAGCAUUUCUCACUGCAGGAGCCCUCAGCCUUUGCCACAGAAUCCCAGCUUUUUUCUUUAUGCCUUUUAUAUGUUUCUGAAAGCAUCCUAAAAACAUAUGCUUUUAAUCUCCUUUGAGUCAUCAAAGAGUUUAAAACAACACUCCUGAGAGCCUGGGGACAGAAGUGAUGCUGUGCCACCAUGAAAUCUGACAUUUUGCUAAGGUACCACAUGAGUCAGUGUUUUACUGCAGAUUUAAUUAUUUUUGCUGCUAUCAGAAGUCUGAAGGCAUUAACUUUUCAGAGCCCAUUCUAUAGUGAGGCUGGAUAUGGCUGAUCUUGCUCUGCAUUCUUCCCUGCAAAGGAGGAAUAAUACAUUGGUGGGGGGGGGGAUAGGAAAACCAAAGCUGUGUCACUGAGCCUAGGAAAAAAGGAGAGACCACAGAAAGCAGAAAUAUCUUUCUACCAAUCCUAUUUGGGUUUUGGUGAGAGGGACAAUAGCUUGACAAGCAGAGGAGAAAAUGCUCCCUAGCAUCUGCUGUGACUGUGGGAUAGUGAGAACACAGGAAAACCUUGUGUAUCCUUUCCCUCUGCCCUGUGUGUCCACACCCAUUCAGCACUCAGAUUCUGUUGCAGCUCUGUCUUCACUGCAUGCACUUUGUUCCUUUGAUCCUGGUGGACUUCUGUUCUUUCAAUGACUUUUUUUCCUUGGAUAAUAAAAAGCCCACAUGUUUCUACGAGUCA